rnacentral:tRNA from 1 species
GGGACUGUAGCUCAGGUGGCUAGAGCGCGCCCCUGAUAAGGGCGAGGUCGGUGGUUCAAGUCCACCCAGGCCCACCA